AGAUUGUAGCUUUCAACACUCUGAAGAUUGGAGGCAGCCCUUUGUUAAAAAGGCUUAUCCAGAAAUGCCAUGAGAUGGUUAAAAUGGUUUAUAUUUUACGGUACACCAAAUGCCAGUCCAAUAUGCAAAAAAAAAAAAAAAAAAAAACACUCAUGAAAUAACUAAAAUGUGUGGCGCUUUUUAUGAUACAGGAAAAAGAAAAAAGUGAAUAGCCUAUUAUUACUGCAAAAAAAAAAGGUCUGCUCAGUCAACACCAAAUUUAGCUCUCACCUAACAAAAUUUAACAUAAAACCUCUUGCUGUCUGAUUACCCUCCAAACUAUAUUUUAUUCACUAAUAACUUAUAAGCAAAGAGUCAUGAGAUGAUGUUAUCUAUACUGCUUAAUCAGUGUUUCUGGAUUGAAACAAAUGCAUAUAUUUGUGAUGGUGGAGAAAUAAGAUCUAUUUUGUUGAAUUUGAAAAUGAUGGGUAGUCAGGAGCUCCCCAAGAAGAUUGGGAGUGAUUUUAAAUCAACCCAUUUCACCCUUGGAAGAUCACUGAUGCCAAGAAAU
rnacentral:lncRNA from 10 species